CGCCCAGGCCCCGGGAGGCGGAAGUCGGGCGGGCCGCUCGGCCCUCCUGUUUUUCUCAGGGCGCCAAGCUGACUUCACGCCUCUCUCCCGGUUUUGGAAACUUUAGUGGCUUUUGCUUUAAGCGGCUCUGCAACUCCUUGGUUCUGCUCUUUGCUGUUGUCUCCUUGGCUCUGUCCUUCAACAUCGCGGCCCUCCUCAAAAAGUAAAAACUUGAAUUAAACUUACAGUGGUCACUUCGAGAAGCCAAGGCUGCGAUAAACAGGCCGAUUCCGUGUCUCAGUUUACCCCUUCUUGCCUUCACUGCCUAAAAGGGAUUAGAGAUCUCCAGGAAAUUGACAUUUUCCCAGUGUUCCUGCCUCUUUAAGUUCAGCUGUUUACAGUACUGAAAAAAAAAUACUAAUUAACAAUAAACGACCUUUUCAAUUCUGCUCUGUAUUGGAUACUCAAAAAGCAAUGUUACCCAAGAGAUAAAGAGAUACUGACAGUUCCUAGCGCAUCAUCUCCAUUUAGGUUUCUCACCGUGUAUAUGGAAUGCUCUCACUUUCUCAGAUAUCCUGAGAUUCAUAACAACGACAAAAAAGACAAUGUAUUCGUAAAUCAAAUAUCACGACGGAACUAUUGGAUGACGGAAGAGAACAGAUUAUGGAAUUGUGAAACUCACAAGAAAGAAAGACUAAGAACGAAUUGUUACUGAGCCUGGAGAAAUAGCUCAGUGAUUAACAGUUUGCACUACAGCUGAAGAGGAGCCAAGUUCGUUUUCCAGCACCCAGGAUGGGCUGCCCAGAACAGCUUGAAAGUCCAGCUCCAAAGAUGUGGCCUCUUUGACCUUUGAGUGUGCCAACCAUGUUCAUACGUCUUCUGAAAAGAUCCCUGAGCCUUGGAGGAAGGAGUGGGACAUGAAUGUUUGACUUAGGGCUGAGCACUCAACGGUCUCCUAUUCUCUGCACAUUGACCCACUGAGAGACUUGUGUUAACUGGCAUCUACACAAGAAGAUUCUCUGGUGAAAGGAACGACUCACGUCACGACGUUUUCAGAGUCAAGCUGAUGACAAAUUAAGGUGGAAACCAGGCUUCUUGGAAGACUUCGCACUAUGCCAAAUGGUCUGAUUUCACCAUAGAGAGCCCAUUGUGUUCCACGAAGCGGGCAAAACUCAGAGAGAUAACAAAGACUUGAUCUACAGAAGAGAAGGCAAUAAAGAGCCAGCCCUCUCCAGAGGGUAAUUAAUCCUUCCUCAUUCAUCUUAGAAGUCGCAGUUACAGGGGAGGUUAAUGUGCAGGGUUUCUCACGUAGCAGUGACUGUCCUUGAACUCCUGCUGUAGACUGGCCUUGAAAUCACAGAGAUCUGCCUGCCUCUGCUUCCUGAAUGCUGGAUCAAGGCGUGAUUUUAAGGGAUCUGAAAAAGCCUGGGUCAAAACCGGUCUCGCUGAACAUAGCGGACAAGGAGGACUACUGAGACCUCAAGAACAAUGGCAACGGGUUUUUGAUUCUACUGGACCUAUUGGUUUCGUGGGAGCCUAGGCAGUUUCGUGGAUGCUCACCUUACUAGACCUGGAUGGAGGAGGGACUCACAGAUCACAGUCCUCUGAACGGGGCAACAGGAACUGAAUCCAGCAGCCAGGUGAGAGAGGAGAAAGAGAGGAGGCAUGCAAACACACACCUUUUUGGUGCCCAAGGCCAUGCCCAACCUGUUCCGGCCUCUCAAAGGCCACUGGCUGAAGGAGGUUCCCAGCAGUAACUGGAAACAAUUUGACUAUGUUUACAGACAGUCAACUUGAAAGACCAGAAGUUCCCCCAAAGAUCCAGCUGAAAUGGUGCUUGUUUUAAAGUGCAGGACUCCCAAAGCUAAAUGUUCCUUUCUACCAACAUAACCACAAGCAUCCAUGCAGGCUCUCCUAUGUAAACCUCCUCCUGCCCAGAGAAGCUGGUAAAGUACCAUGGGGUACUGCUGUGACACACCUGACCACAUUUGUUUUGGAAGAGCUGUAGUAGCAUUUGAAACUCUGAGCUGCAAAAAACACUGAGUACUCAAAGCUUAAAGGCACAAGACUGUAACCUACAAUGCCUGUAAUACUUUAAAUAUAUAAAUGAGGAUUUAGGUCUUUGUUCCUGGAGCAACCAACAACUUCUAAUGAAACCGUGGAAGUGAAGGUACGUGACUCUCGUGACUAGGUCACGGACAGUACUUGCACUCUACUCUUGGAUCCCUUACUUUAAGGAAAGUUAGCUGCCAGGCUAUGAGUAGACACCCAUAUGGCAAAAGCCUCCUGCCAAAACUCAUGUGAAUGAGCCAUCUUGGAAGUACAUCCUUCAACAAGUGAAGCCUUCAACCUGCAAUCCUUGCCUACUUUUGAUUUCAACAACAUGAGAAAUAGUGAGCCACUACCAUCCAGCUAAGUCACUCCUGAGUUUCUGAUACACAGAAAUUGAGAAAAUAAUUUGUUUUUAGCUGUUAAGUUUUUAGUAAGUUUAGGGUAGCUAGUUAUAUGACAGACACUGUAAAAGAUACAUAACUAUAGGGGUAAACAAGAGGGGGAAACCCAGUUAUUAACGUUAAAAUAGGCACAUUCUUUCAACUUUAAGUAGAAUCCUAAACAUUAUCUAAUGAUAGGGCCUUGUUGUCUUGACAAGGACUCGUGCAUACUCUCUGUAUAGAGAUAGCACAAGCACAUGCUGAACUAUAAAUACAAUUUUUAUGGCUGAGUGACUGCAAUACUGGAGACUGAA